AGAGCGAACGCUGGCGGCAUGCCUAACACAUGCAAGUCGAACGAAGCCUUCGGGCUUAGUGGCGCACGGGUGCGUAACGCGUGGGAAUCUGCCCCUCGGUUCGGAAUAACAGUUAGAAAUGACUGCUAAUACCGGAUGAUGACGAAAGUCCAAAGAUUUAUCGCCGAGGGAUGAGCCCGCGUAGGAUUAGCUAGUUGGUGAGGUAAGGCUCACCAAGGCGACGAUCCUUAGCUGGUCUGAGAGGAUGAUCAGCCACACUGGGACUGAGACACGGCCCAGACUCCGACGGGAGCAGCAGGUGGGAAUAGUGGACAAGUGGGCGCGAAGCCUGAUCCAGCCAGUCGCCGCGUGAGUGA
rnacentral:rRNA from 1 species